UGCCUGUAAAGACAGUCACAAACUGUCCCAAAUAUCACCAUAGACACAAGUCAAAAAGACAAAGAAAACAUCUGAGAAAGUGAAAGACCAGCCCACAUUCACAAGCCAGAGCCAUGCUGCCCAUUUUCCUUCUCAUUCUAAUUCCUUUCCUUUCCCUAAUCUUCUUCUUCUUCUUCCUCACCACCUCCAAAUCCAACUCCAAAGCUCCCAAAUCGUACCCUCUAGUGGGUUCAUUCUUCGCCAUCCUCGCCAACCAAGAUCGCCAGCUCCAAUGGUUCUCAGAGAUCCUCCUAGACUCACCUUCCGCCACCUUCGUUCUCCGCCGCUCCUUCUCCAACCGCCAAGUCUUCUCCGGCGACCCCGCCGUGGUCCAACACAUCCUUAAGUCCAACUUCCAGAACUAUGGCAAAGGCGAGAUUUUUCGUUCAAGACUCAGACUUUCUCGGCCAUGGAAUCUUCAACGUCGACAGUGAUGAGUCCUGGAAGUUCCAAAGACAAGUCGCUAGCCACGAAUUCAACACCAAAUCUCUCCGCAAGUUCAUUGAAACCGUUGUGGACACUGAGCUCUCUGACCGCUUAAUCCCCAUUCUCUCCUCAGCUGCCAAAAAUGGAACUGUCCUAGAUUUCCAAAACAUUCUUCAAAGGUUUGCUUUUGAUAAUAUAUGUAAGAUCGCUUUUGGGUUCGACCCGGUUUACUUGUCGCCCUCUCUUCCACAAGCCAAGUUCGCCUUAGCCUUUGAAGACAGUGUUCGAAUCAGCUACGGGAGGCUCACUGCUUCAAUUCCACUCAUUUGGAAAAUCAAGAAGUUUUUCAAUAUUGGGUCAGAAAAGCGUCUCAAAAUGGCUGUCUCAGAAGUAAAAGAGUACGCCAUGAACAUAGUGAAACAAAAGAAGCAAAAGCUAGAGCAGCUGGGAGAGAAAGAGAGCCUCGAUGAUGACCUUUUGUCAAGGUUCUUGAGCUCUGGCCAUGUGGACGAGAAGUUCGUGACAGACAUUGUGAUCAGCUUUUUAAUUGCUGGGCGUGACACCACAUCAGCGGCUUUAACGUGGUAUUUCUGGCUUCUAUCUCAGCACCCGGAAGUCCAAUCCAAGGUUGUGAAGGAAAUCAAGGAACACUCCGAAGUGCCUGCUUAUGAAGAAGUGAAAGACCUGGUGUACGUUCACGCCUCUCUAUGUGAAUGCAUGCGGCUGUACCCACCAGUCCCGUUGGACACGAAGGAGGCUCUGAACGACGACGUGCUGCCCGGAGGGACAGUGGUGAAGAAGGGGAUGAGAGUUUCUUACUUUCCAUACGCGAUGGGGAGGUUGGAGUCGCUGUGGGGAUCAGACUGGGCCGAGUUCAAGCCCGAGAGGUGGCUGCAGAAGGAGGAGAAUUCCAAGUCAUGGAGGUUUGUGCAGAAGGACUCGUACCAUUACCCGGUGUUCCAAGCAGGCCCUAGAAUUUGUUUGGGGAAGGAGAUGGCUUUCUUGCAGAUGAAGAGCGUGGUGGCUGGGGUUUUAAGGAGGUUUAAGGUGGUGCCAGCGUUUGAACGAGAAGUCGUGGAACCAGAGUAUAUUUCCUACUUGACUGCCAAGAUGAAAGGUGGGUUUCCUGUGAAGAUUGUGGAGAGGGGUCAAGAUGAGAAUUGAGUGAACUCUUCCUAUCUACUGCUUAACUUUCUGUGAUUGAAGUUAAUAAAUUUGGAUGAUGAUGUCAGAUUAAUGUGUAAUUUUAUUUCCUUAAGUUAUGAUCAGUUAUUUAAUUCAUGUUAAGUAAUUUUCGAUGUUAUGUAUAGCUGAAGAUUAAAUGAAUAGUCGCUUC